AGACCAGGAACCCACCACAAGAAACGAACAACUCUGGAGCCGCCAUAAGACUCCCUGUGGCUUUAAGAGCUGUAAGACUCACUGUGAAGGUCUGCGGCUUCACGCCUGAAGUCAGCCAGACCACGAACCCACCGGGAGGAACAAACAGCUCCGGACGCACCAUCUUUAAGAGCUGUAACGCUCACUGCAAAGGUCUGCGGCUUCACUCAUGAAGUCGUGCAUAGACCACGAACCCAGUAGAAGGAAGAAACUCCCGACACAUCUGAACAUCUGAAGGAACAAACUCUGGACACACCAUCUUUAAGAAGUGUAACACUGCGAGGGUCCGCGGCUUCAUUCUUGAAGUUAGCGGGACCAGGAACCCAUCGGAGGGAACCAAUUCCGGACACACAGCCUCGUGGAAUGGUUCUGCACAGUGUGUGUGUGUUUCCCGUCAACCCUGUGCACACUAUUAAAAGAACACAAGCGCUAAGGCUCCCUCUCAGACCUACUGAUGCAAGACAUUGUGAUUUUGACUUUGUUGGAUGCUGCACCUAAAGGUGGAUGGAAGAGGAAGAGUCUUGGGGGCUACCAUCCUGGCUGGAGAAGCUGGCACGAGGCUCCCUCUUGUGGAUGCAGCAAGGUAAGAAAGUAAAGUG
rnacentral:lncRNA from 1 species